UUUAACUAACAGAAGGAACUAUU
rnacentral:miRNA from 1 species